GAAAUAAUUACUUUGAAAUUGGGAUAAUUGAAAGAAAAAAACAGAAAAGAAAGGCAUAUUUCGUUUCCCAGGAGAGUUGGAGAUUAUAGCAGAAAAAUUUGGGUGUAUAUUUUUUCCAUUCUCACAAAAGCCGAGGAAUUCCGUCGUGUAGCCCGAGUGACCAAUAACGAUGGCUGAGGAAAUUACAGGAAAAGAGAAGGAAGAGAAGAAUCAAUCGGAAACCGAGGGUUUAGGUAUGGAGAGUGGCACUUGUACGAUGAGCAGGAAGGAGAAGAGAAAGGCCUUGAAGAAGAUGAAGAGGAAGCAGAUAAGGAAAGACAUGGCCGUAAAAGAACGAGAGGAAGAAGAGGUCAAGCUUAACGAUCCACAGGAGCAGAUGAAGAUCGAAUUGAUGGAGCGAGAAGAAGCCGAGAGGGCCGAGAGGGAGAGGAAGGAGUUCGAAGAGCGAGAGAAGGCUUGGCUCGAAGCCAUGGAACUGAGAAAGAAGAAGAUGAUCGAAGAAGAAGAAGAAGAGGAGCGGCGAAGGAAGGCUUUCGAUGAAGAGUUACGGAGGCAACAGGCUGAAAAUGCAACCAAUGGUGACGAGGAUGAUGAUUGGGAGUAUGUUGAAGAAGGGCCUGCUGAGAUUAUCUGGCAAGGAAAUGAGAUUAUUGUCAAGAAGAAGAAGGUUAGGGUUCCAAAAAAGAGUAAAGACCAACAAAGCAGAAACGAGGAUGCUGAUAGGCCUACAUCAAAUCCUCUUCCUCCACAAUCUGAAGCUUUUGCAGAUUAUAAAAAUGGCUUGGUAUCUGCUCAGCACGCGAUUGAGAAUGUUGCUCAACAAUUACCAAAUUUUGGAACUGAACAGGAUAAAGCUCAUUGCCCUUUCCAUUUGAAAACUGGUGCUUGUCGGUUUGGUCAGCGUUGCAGUAGAGUUCAUUUCUACCCUGAUAAAGCAUGUACAAUACUUAUCAAGAACAUGUACAAUGGUCCAGGCCUUGCUUGGGAGCAGGAUGAGGGGCUUGAGUAUACUGAUGAGGAGAUUGAACGCAGUUAUGAAGAAUUUUAUGAGGAUGUGCAUACAGAGUUCUUGAAAUUUGGGGAAAUUGUGAAUUUCAAGGGUAAUGAAUCUAAUCUGUAUCAGGUGUGUAGAAAUGGAUCCUUCCACUUGCGGGGAAAUGUGUACAUCCAGUACAAAUGUUUGGAUUCAGCUGUGCUUGCAUAUCAUUCUAUCAAUGGUCGUUACUUUGCUGGGAAGCAGGUAAUUUGUGAAUUUGUCAAUUUGACCAGAUGGAAGGUUGCCAUUUGUGGGGAGUAUAUGAAGUCAAGGUUCAAAACAUGUUCCCAUGGAACUGCUUGCAAUUUCAUUCACUGCUUCCGUAAUCCUGGCGGGGACUAUGAAUGGGCUGAUGGUGACAAACCACCACCAAAGUAUUGGGUGCAAAGGAUGGUUGCUUUAUUUGGUUAUUCUGAAGAUUCUGUGUAUGAUAGAGAGAAGUCACAAGAAAAUUUUGGCAAGAUGUCGGCGGCAGAGGCAGGCAGGUAUCGUUCAAGAAGAUCUAGAUCCAGAGAGAUGGAUUCCACAAAUUAUGGUACUUCUCGUAGAAGAAAUGACAAUGAAAAUUAUGUUCGUUCGAACCGCCAGAGCUGCAAAAGUGAUUAUAAAGAGCAGAACAAAAAUGACGGCUUAUGCAAACAGAGUAUGAACUCAAAAGAUGAUCAUUAUAGGAAGAGAAAAAACCAUGAUAUGGAUAUUGAUGGAGAAAUGUUUGAUAAUGUUAGAGAUACAGACAGAGAUGAGUAUCAUGUUUGCGCAAGGAAUAGUUCAAGAUGGCAGGGCAGGAACAGCAAAAACAGAUCUUUUGAAACUGAUUCUGAUGGAGGUUGGUCGGAUGUGGAUGAAGUUAGAGAUAGAAACCGUGAUCAUGCUAGGCAAAGCCCAAAAUAUAGUAGGAUAGCAAGAUAUCUUGAUGAUUAUGGAGAACAUGAGAACAGAAAUGAUGAAGUUGACAGUCAUUCGGAUGAGGGCAGGGGAGAGUCAUACCAUGACAGAACAAGAAAAAGUUCAAGACGCUGCAGAAAAGUUGAAUAUCCUGCUAGUUAUGGGGACAAGGCGAAUAGGGAUCAUGGUGCUGAAGGAGGCUGGUCACGUAUGGACAGUGAUGAUGAUGCUCAUAGGCGCCGUAGUAAGAGGACCAGGGAUGAUGAUGCUGAUAGGCACCAUAGUAAAAGGAGGAAAAGCUCAGUACAGUCCAGCAAAGUUUCCAAGUUCUCUGAUGAACAUGGGGACAGCAAAGACAGGAUUCUUGGUACUGAUUUUGGUGAUGACUGGUUGGACAAGAGUACAGAAAGACAUCAUAGUCACACAAGGGGAUUCCCAAAAGAAGGGUCAGAUAUCUCAGAAGAUCAGGUGGAACCUACCAGAAGGAUUAAAGCUGAGCGGCGUCAUAUGAGUGUAGAGAUUAGCAAAGCAGAUCCUUCUAAUGAGAACUUUAGAUCAGAUUGGAGUUGUGAGCCCAGCAGUUCAGAUCAAUAUGAUAUGAGAGACAGCCCACAUGAUCUUGAUUUCAGACACAACUCUGAGGUAAAAUUUGAUAAACAAGAUCGGUGGGAAUCUGAACAAUGUGCUGGUGAUGUGUACUCUAAAUCUAGAGGGAAGUUUACUAGUUUUAACGGUUCGGUUCAUUACAGUGGAAGAGAGAGAUCAUAUGAUUGUGACUCAGAGCGCUACCAUCAUGAUAAACUUGACCUUGAAGACCGCUGGAAUUCUGAAGAAGUUGCUUCAAAAAAGUCUAGUAAUUUGGAUUCCUCUAGUAAGCGAUCUUCCAAGAUUGAUAGAGCAAGAAGAUCAAAAAGUAGAAGCCAAUCAGGCCAUAAUAGAUGCUCGGAUAAUGAGGGAGAUUCAUCCCAAGACAACAAAGAUUCUGAAAAGAAUUGUUAGAAGAAUUGAACAUAUCAUAAAAGACAACACAAAAGGCACUCAUUUAGUGUCUCUGAAAGAGUCACAUUGUGGAGUAGAUCUGAACAUGAAGAAUGUACUUGAACUACUACUAUCAUUUUGCCUGCAAUGAUUAUGGUGUCCCUUUCCCCCGUCUGGAAUUCAAUGGAAAGCUGGCUUUAAGGUUGAUGCAUUUUAUUGUUAUUGUUAUUGUUAUUAUUGUUAUAUUUUCUCUUGUUUAUGUUGAGGCAUCUGCAUUUCUUUGUAUAUCUUGCCUAAAGAUUCGAAUACUCGUCUUUGCUAUGUCAGUUGCGAUGCAUUCCACAA